rnacentral:rRNA from 1 species
GAUGAACGCUGGCGGCGUGCUUAACACAUGCAAGUCGAACGAAGCUGUUAAAAGGAAGUCUUCGGAUGGAAUUUUAACAGACUUAGUGGCGGACGGGUGAGUAACGCGUGGAUAACCUGCCUUAUACAGGGGGAUAACGGAGAGAAAUUUCCGCUAAGACCGCAUAAGACCACAGCACCGCAUGGUGCAGGGGUAAAAUAUUAAUAGGUAUAAGAUGGAUCCGCGUCUGAUUAGCUAGUUGGUGAGGUAGAGGCUCACCAAGGCGACGAUCGGUAGCCGGCCUGAGAGGGUGAACGGCCACAUUGGGACUGAGACACGGCCCAAACUCCUACGGGAGGCAGCAGUGGGGAAUAUUGGACAAUGGGGGAAACCCUGAUCCAGCGACGCCGCGUGAGUGAAGAAGUAUUUCGGUAUGUAAAGCUCUAUCAGCAGGGAAGAAAAUGACGGUACCUGACUAAGAAGCCCCGGCUAACUCGCC